UACGUAGGGGGCGAGCGUUGUCCGGAUUUACUGGGCGUAAAGGGCGCGCAGGUGGCCUCGUCAGUCCGUCGUGAAAGCCCUGGGCUCAACUCGGGGUGGUCGGCGGGGACGGCGGGGCUUUGGAGGCCGGUAGAGGAGCACGGAAUUCCCGGUGUAGUGGUGAAAUGCGUAGAGAUCGGGAGGAACACCAGUGGCGAAGGCGGUGCUCUGGGCCGGGCCUGACGCUGAGGCGCGAAAGCGUGGGGAGCGAACCGG
rnacentral:rRNA from 1 species